rnacentral:rRNA from 1 species
UACAGAGGGUGCGAGCGUUGUCCGGAAUCACUGGGCGUAAAGGGUGCGUAGGUGGCCUGAUAAGUAGGGGGUGAAAUCUCGAGGCUCAACUUCGAGGCUGCCUCCUAAACUGUCAGGCUUGAGCAGAGUAGAGGCAGGUGGAAUUCCCGGUGUAGCGGUGGAAUGCGUAGAUAUCGGGAGGAACACCGGUGGCGAAGGCGGCCUUCUGGACGGAUACUGACGCUGAGACGCGAAAGCGUGGGGAGCAAACAGG